CCACCCUCUUCGGGUUACAAGAGUUCUAAUAGAAUUCCUUUACAUAACUGCCAUAUAGUGCUCUGUAUCUACUAGUCGAUCUUACUUUAACAAUUAGGCAGUGAUUGUAUGUAGAAAACAUCUUAUGGAUAAGACAGCUAUUUCCAGCAUGUUUGGUGCCUUGAAUUUAAAAAAAAGCUGUCCGUUUUUUUUUAUCAAUUGUCCACUUUUUCAUUCUCGCUCAAUGACUGGUAAAACACUUUUAAUAUUGAAAUUUGUGAUAAUUACAGUGGUACCUCAAUUUAUGAACUUAAUUUGUUCCUGGCUACAGUUUGUAAUGUGUAAAGUUCAUAUCUUGAAACCCAGUUUUCCAUUUUAUCUUAUAGAAAAUCAAUUAAUCCGUUCCCAGAUUUAGAAAUUUUGAAAAAAAA
rnacentral:lncRNA from 1 species